AUAGAGAAGGAGGGAGGAACAGUGGGGGUGGUUGUGUUGUUGCUGGGUUCUGUAAAGACCAUACUGAGUUGUGGAAGAAGCAACAACAAACAGGGAAGUUCAAGAUUGUGGCUAGGGAUGAGCACAAGAAAUAGCAAGAUCUUGUGAGGUUCAAUGGUUUUCAUUAUUUUGUUGAUCUGUUGGUAGAAAUUUGGAAAUGGGGUUUAGAGAUGUUUCUUAUUCUAGUUUAGUUAUUUUGGUGUAGUUCUGUGUUAGGAUGAUUUUUAUGCAUGUGGUAAAAUAGAUGUUGAUUCAA